GAUGAACGCUGGCGGCGUGCUUAACACAUGCAAGUCGAACGGAAAGGCCUCAGCUUGCUGGGGUACUCGAGUGGCGAACGGGUGAGUAACACGUGGGUGAUCUGCCCUACACUUUGGGAUAAGCUUGGGAAACUGGGUCUAAUACCGAAUAUGACCACUUCUUGGAUGUUGUGGUGGAAAGCUUUUGCGGUGUGGGAUGAGCCUGCGGCCUAUCAGCUUGUUGGUGGGGUAAUGGCCUACCAAGGCGGCGACGGGUAUCCGGCCUGAGAGGGUGUACGGACACAUUGGGACUGAGAUACGGCCCAGACUCCUACGGGAGGCAGCAGUGGGGAAUAUUGCACAAUGGGCGCAAGCCUGAUGCAGCGACGCCGCGGGGGGAUGAAGGCCUUCGGGUUGUAAACUCCUUUCGCUAUCGACGAAGCCACUUGUGGUGACGGUAGGUAGAUAAGAAGCACCGGCUAACUACGUGCCAGCAGCCGCCGUAAUAC
rnacentral:rRNA from 1 species